UACGGAGGGUGCAAGCGUUAAUCGGAAUUACUGGGCGUAAAGCGUGCGCAGGCGGUUUGUUAAGUCCGUCGUGAAAGCCCCGAGCUCAACUUGGGAAUUGCAGUGGAUACUGGCAGGCUGGAGUACGGUAGAGGAAGGUGGAAUUCCCGGUGUAGCAGUGAAAUGCGUAGAUAUCGGGAGGAACACCAGUGGCGAAGGCGGCCUUCUGGACCAGUACUGACGCUCAUGCACGAAAGCGUGGGGAGCAAACAAG
rnacentral:rRNA from 1 species